UGCAUAGUAUAUGGAUAAGGCACCAAGGUUUGAAUCUAGUCAAAGGGAAUCAAGAAGAUGCUGUGUGGAGCUGAUUGGUUACUUUGGGGCAUGGACAGGCUGGCUGUUGCUGUAAAGAGGAAGGCAGCCACGACCAUGCACCUAGACUGAUCUAUGGACAGAUACAAAGGAGCCUAAGAAGAACCAAUCAAAGCACAGCCUUGUUUGAAUUAAAGUGAGCCAACUUAGCUCAUCCAAUCAGCACACAUCACUCAGAUUACAACAAGACCAACUCAUCCUCACCAUCCAUUCCUCUUAAGUUAUUUCUAUCCAUUAGAUAUAGGUUUAUGAGUUUGCAAGAGUGUAAAACCUAUAUAAAGACCCUUAUGGGCGUGUCUAGCUCUCUUAAGAGAGUAUGGGGGUUUUCCCCAUCUCCUUCACAAAUAUAAAAGUGUGUUCUUGAUCAGAUUCCCUUAAUCUAC
rnacentral:lncRNA from 1 species